AAACAAUUGUGAAAAUUGGUUGAAAUUGAUUGUUAAACCUGACACGAUGAAAGGUAAAAAUAAUUGAUUACACUUAAUUGACCUUAUUUUGUUUCAUCGUUAAUCAAGUCAUAAUUUUAUGAUUAAGAUUAUGAUAGAGGAAAAACUAAUUGUCAUUCAAUAUCAACUCAUCAAUUUCAUGGUCUAUUAGUUGAUUAGUUACAAUUAAUACUAACAAGAAAAUUAUUAUUUUGUAUUAUUUUUAACCAACUAAACAUAUUAAGCUGAAAUGGGUAACCAAAUAGGUUUCAUUGUUAACCAUAUUGUAACCUAAUCGUUUCAUCAUUGAUCAUUGACCAUCAAAUAAAUUGAUACUUAAAAUUUCAACAAUCACAUGAACAAUGAUUUUGAAAAAACUGGACUUAUACAAAAAAUCAAAUCAAAUCAACAACAAAGAUUUCAAGAUAGAUUCAUAACUUUCAUUAUUUUCCCUGGAAUCAGGUCAUUUCUUCUUCCAAAUCAUCAUAACCAUCAUCUUGGAAUCUUUCAUUCUCCUACAAUAAACUAAUAAUAAUUACAAUCAAGUUCAAAGGUUGUAAUGGGUUGCUCAUAAACCAGUUUUGUUUGCCAUUCUGUUACUUCUCAGUUGAUUUCUUGUUCAGAUAAUUGUCUCUUUUUUUGUUUUCAGUUUAUUUCACUAUUCUAAUUAUUUAGAUUGUCAUUUGCUCAUGUUUGCCUUCACAUUGAUUCUUAUCCUGAUCAGCUUCCAUCUUCCUCUACUUCAAGUUGGUCUUUUGUACACAUCUAACAUUUCAUGAGUUAUUGGGCGAUUCCUUUUGUUUGUAUCCUCCAUUGUUUUCCCAUUAUUAUUACAAUUUACCUUUAAUUAGAAUUAAUCAGCUUAUUAUCUUGAUUGGUAAACAUGUAUCAGAACAAAUUAAACGAUUAAUAUCCUUAACCUCCUGUGGUUGUGUUGGUUUAAUUGUAAAUGUCAAGAUGGAGCAUCUUCAAUUGAAAAAACAACAUUCAUUGAAGUAAACAUCAACAACGAUUAUGCCAAUUAUUAUUAGCUUGAAAAUUUAAAGAUAGUCAUGUAACGAUGAACACAAAAAUAUAAAAAACAAAGACCAAAAUAAUUAGUGAAUUAAAAAUAACAACAGUAUAAAGAGUGAAAAAUGCUAAUCACAAUUAAGGUAAACGAGAAGACAAAGACAUUUCUGGUUGCCAAUGGAAAUAAAAAAACAAAUUUAGCGCCUAAAGAUGAUUGACCAAGAGUUCAUAUUCACAUGUUGCCAAUGUAAGAUAUUGUAAGACGAAUCACUUUCCCAUUUGUUAAUUGUUUGCUAAAUAUUGAUUAAUCUCUGUUAAUUUCAUCAACCAAGGAACAACUAAACUUAGGACAAUCAAGGUAACUCAGCUUGACAAAUUUAGGUUUUAUUUUCAACUCUUGAUGCUAUGGUUGAUUGGAAUCACGCUAAUCAACAUGAAUUGAUCAAAUUCUCAGCAAAUUCUUAAGUUGGUUCUGAAUAACUUUGUACAGCUCUAAAAUGUUAAACUGGAUUCGUCGGUUUUGGUCUUCUGUAUGUUAAGUCAGACGAUCCUACGAUGCAAAUAUUUUUUGCAAAACAGUUUGAAUAGGCAGUUUAAAAGUAAAAUCAAUCAUUAUUAAGGCAAGUAAUAUGUCUGUAUGGACUAUCAUUAACAAUUAAACUCAACUUAACAACAAUUACCAACAAUCUCAAACAGUGGUACUCGCAGAGUUAAACAAAGCAACAACCAAGUGAUAAGACACCAAAUCAGUGAACGUCAAAUAAUGCAACAAUCAGUAUUGAUCAUCAACUGAGUUUAUCUAAUGUUGAUAAAUUUAGAAAUUGUACUUUUGCCAUCUUGUUUUCAUGUUAGCCAUCAACAAAGAGCAAGUUGAAGCAAAUGAUUGUUGUAAUAUUGAUGAUGUAAAAGAUGUUAUUAUUACUAUCAGAAGUUAACACAUAUCCUUCUAGCAUUGGUUCGUACGAAUGAUUAUCAUCGUAAAAUGGUGAUGAUGAUGAUAAUAAUGAGAGUAACCGAUGAAAUGUUAGUUAAUAGUUGUAUUAUUACAAUUGUUUGAGUCAAUUUGAGUUAAUUCAUUGUUGAGAUUUAGAUUUUUUUUUGUCAAAUGAAAAAAAGCUGAAGAAGCAAAGUUAACAGACUGUGAUAUGAAGACCUUUAACCGGCUCAUCGAAACCUUUUAUCUUUAAGGCCACAAUAAGUUGACUUGCUUCGAUUAACCUUACCAUUUCCCUUUCAUUUUUUUGCAUACAAAAAACAUUUUUCUCACCUUUUCUUUCUUUUCUCUCUUUCUUUCUCUCCUUAGCAUCAAUUAUCAAUACUUUGCCAUCCUGCAUCAUCUUCAUCACCAUCAACAUUUCACUUGAAAAGACUGUUCUCACCACUCAUUUUCCUUUCUUCACUCCUUUCAUCAUCAAAUGUAGCAACAACCACUAAUCCAGCUUUGGCCUAAACUUUAAACUGUCAUACUGUUGAACAUUUACACUUAACAUUUGAUUACAAUGAAAGUACAAUGAUUAUAAUAGUUAUAAUUGUUGCUAACAAUGGUAACAACAAACAGGAUUUACCUGCAUUUUAACAAGAAGCGGUAAAAACAAUAAGCCCGAGCUAUGACCAUAGCGUCUUAUUGAUGAUUUAUUUGAAUAUUGUUUGAAUUUUAAGAUACAACUUCUUUUAAAUUCAGACAAAUUGUAAAUCAUUUUAGUCUUAUAUCAUUUGGUAAUUGUUAGUUUGAGGAAAUGCCAAAUGUACGAAUUAAUGUCUACAAUCAAAUCAAUUAUUCCAGAAGAACUGACUAGGUGAUUGGACUUAACAAACGAAAUUUUUUGAACAAAUAGAGCGUAUUUUCUCGAAAAAUAGACUCAAGGGAAACAUGGGAAACUUCCCAUAAUUAAGUCCUCAGUUAUAAGUGUUCCUACAUGUGCUAGAUUUAAAUAACAUUCACCAAAUAAGCAAAACUAUGAAUUAAGCUGUCAAUCCAGAAAUUAACUAAAUUGCUUUUGUUACCAGAGCUUGGAUUUUUCUGGUGUUGAUUUAGAUUUCUGGUAUCGGUUAGAUAUUUAUCGUCUUGUUGAGUUUUCUUCUUACUAUUGACCAGAGAAACAAUUCAGUUGAAUGCUGUGGUUGAAUUGUUUACCUUUUGAUGUUUCAUCAAUUUAUACAAAUUGCUGUCGUAAUUGUUCAACUAUGAAUGCCAGUUGUGAAACUUUAUUGUUAAAGCUUUUCAAUCUUAUCAUUAGACAUAAACGGAUCAAUCUGAAUUUUGUUUCCUUGCUGAACAAACAGUGGAUAACUCUGUGAUAGUGAUUAUUCGGAUAUUUAACACUUUUACCAAGUUACCUACAUGAUGAGAACCACAAAAAAAGGUUGAACAGGAAAAUUGGACUUUGUUUGCCCGAAAAACCUGCCUUGGAUUGUUAAUAAUUGGAUAAGAUCAAUACAAUUUGUUAUGGACGGAGAUGGAAAAUCAGAAGAAGAAGAAAAAAAUUACAGCUUGAUGCUGUUGAUUUAACCUCAACUAACAGUUUAUCGGUAGUCAGUCAAGGCAAGUUAUAUGCCUAAACCAGACCAAACCAGGAUCAAGAUUAUCAUGAUGAGGUACAUCAAAGUGACGGAAAUAGCCUUGCAUUCUUGUUUGUAAUAUUUAAAGUACAACACUGAUUCAAGCCUGAUUUGCUGAUUAGAAGAGGAAGAAAAAAGGUCAUGAAUGAUGGAAAAGAGAAACAACUUGACUGAAUAUUGAACAAUUUAAAGUGUUUCUUUGUUACCAAGAGUAAACACUACAAUUGAAAUAGUAUUACAUAUUGCUUUAUUCAGCUUCAUGACUGUCUGGUAAAUUAAUUCAACUUAUUGAUAACCUUUUAUCUCAGGCUAUACAUCAUUUAAUUUGAAUAAUUAAAUUAAAUCGAUUAAUCUAACUCAUCAAUUAUACUUUCGCUGGCAGCUCUCAUUAACUUGCUCAAUAUCAAUAUGUAUUACCACUUCAAUUGAAAAUCAACACAACUUGUUAACUUAUAUAUUAAUAUAUUUAUAUGCCCUAAUGAAUUUUAAAUGCUUGUUUCAUUCAGUUUGGCCUAAUAUUGUGAGAAGAAGAAGCAAAUUGAGUUUUAAUGAAACUGGUUUUGAUCAACAUUUGAUUAAGAUUGAAUAUUUUGAUGAAAGCAAGAUAAACAAGUCCAAUGAAAGUAAAUAACACUUUGAAUGGCGCAAAUUUCACUCGCAAUUCAAAAAGUAUUAUCACUAUUAAGCUCAAUAAUUUAGUUCAAUAGUAUAAAGCAUUAAAACUGUCUGGAAUGGUCUAAAAUGGCCUAAAAAAGAGUAUAAAAGUGACCGAAAAAUCGAUAUUUACUUUAAAAAGUAACCUUUUUAAAGGCCAUUUAUCCAAUAUUAUGGAUGAAAAAUAUUAUA